GACGAACGCUGGCGGCGUGCCUAAUACAUGCAAGUCGAACGAGAGCGCCCGGUGCUUGCACUGGUCAAUCUAGUGGCGAACGGGUGAGUAACACGUGGGUAACCUGCCCAUCAGAGGGGGAUAACAUCCGGAAACGGAUGCUAAAACCGCAUAGGUCUUCGAACCGCAUGGUUUGAAGAGGAAAAGAGGCGCAAGCUUCUGCUGAUGGAUGGACCCGCGGUGCAUGAGCUAGUUGGUGAGGUAACGGCUCACCAAGGCCGUGAUGCAUAGCCGACCUGAGAGGGGGAUCGGCCACAUUGGGACUGAGACACGGCCCAAAGUCCUACGGGAGGCAGCAGUAGGGAAUCUUCCGCAAUGGACGCAAGUCUGACGGAGCAACGCCGCGUGAGUGAAGAAGGUUUUCGGAUCGUAAAACUCUGUUGUUAGAGAAGAACAAGUGCUAGAGUAACUGUUAGCGCCUUGACGGUAUCUAACCAGAAAGCCACGGCUAACUACGUG
rnacentral:rRNA from 1 species